rnacentral:rRNA from 1 species
UACGUAGGGGGCAAGCGUUGUCCGGAAUCAUUGGGCGUAAAGCGCGCGUAGGCGGCCCGAUAAGUCCGCUGUGAAAGUCGGGGGCUCAACCCUCGAAUGCCGGUGGAUACUGUCGGGCUAGAGUGCGGAAGAGGCGAGUGGAAUUCCUGGUGUAGCGGUGAAAUGCGCAGAUAUCAGGAGGAACACCUAUUGCGAAGGCAGCUCGCUGGGACGUAACUGACGCUGAGACGCGAAAGCGUGGGGAGCGAACAGG